rnacentral:rRNA from 1 species
CCUACGGGUGGCUGCAGUGAGGAAUAUUGGUCAAUGGACGAGAGUCUGAACCAGCCAAGUAGCGUGAAGGAUGACUGCCCUAUGGGUUGUAAACUUCUUUUAUAUGGGAAUAAAAUGUGCCACGUGUGGGAUUUUGUAUGUACCAUAUGAAUAAGGAUCGGCUAACUCCGUGCCAGCAGCCGCGGUACUACGGAGGAUCCGAGCGUUAUCCGGACUUAUUGGGUUUAAAGGGAGCGUAGGUGGAUUGUUAAGUCAGUUGUGAAAGUUUGCGGCACAACCGUAAAAUUGCAGUUGAAACUGGCAGUCUAGAGUACAGUAGAGGUAGGCGGAAUUCGUGGUGUAGCGGUGAAAUGCUUAGAUAUCACGAAGAACUCCGAUGGCGAAGGCAGUUCACUGGACUGCAACUGACACUGAGGCUCGAAAGUGUGGGUAUCAAACAGGAUUAGAUACCCGAGUAGUC